rnacentral:rRNA from 1 species
AUUGAACGCUGGCGGCAUGCUUUACACAUGCAAGUCGAACGGCAGCGCGGGCUUCGGCCUGGCGGCGAGUGGCGAACGGGUGAGUAAUACAUCGGAACGUGCCCAGUAGUGGGGGAUAGCUCGGCGAAAGCCGGAUUAAUACCGCAUACGACCUGAGGGUGAAAGCGGGGGAUCUUCGGACCUCGCGCUCUUGGAGCGGCCGAUGGCCGAUUAGCUAGUUGGUGGGGUAAAGGCCUACCAAGGCGACGAUCUGUAGCUGGUCUGAGAGGACGACCAGCCACACUGGGACUGAGACACGGCCCAGACUCCUACGGGAGGCAGCAGUGGGGAAUUUUGGACAAUGGGCGAAAGCCUGAUCCAGCAAUGCCGCGUGUGUGAUGAAGGCCUUCGGGUUGUAAAGCACUUUUGGCGGGAACGAAAAGGACUGUGCCAAUACCACGGUUCGAUGACGGUACCCGCAGAAUAAGCACCGGCUAACUACGUG